ACUGCUUCUGUGCUGAUCAGUCACGUGAUUGGCGGUCUUCUGCACUGAGGAGCACAGGAGCAAGACUACAGCCACAAGAGAACACGUGAUGAUAGAAUGAAGCCCAUAGCUCCUCUUAGGUGGGCAGGAGCCCAGCCAGAGGGCUCCAAACCAUGUGAGAGAUGCCAUUGGCUCCCAGGACAGAAUCAAAAGAAACAAUGCCUUGACAGACUGGAAUGUGGAGCUGAGCAGGGUGGGUCUUGCUGAGGAUUCUGCCUGGUUUUACAGUCCGGCCACAAGGCCCACUCAACAUUUACGUUUCUGAAGAUCCAAAUUCUGGUCCUCACUUCUGAGUGGCUGGAACAUGCUGUGGCCUGCUGUAACCUCAGAAACAUCUAGAGCAACCGAGGGGCCUCAGGAGCUGAAAGGAAGCGAGAGGCAUUGUUUGAAGCUAGUUGGACCCUGAAAUGGAACAGUGACUUUCCUAUAGCAGCCGCCCCCAGCACCCUCUGAAAGCCAGUUUCACUUUUAACAAGACCCCAGCAUGGCCGUGGGUGACAGAGGUAGCCCCCACAUAGACAGGCCUCUCUGAAUGGUGAAUCCUUGGGUGGCUGGGCUUGUUCAAAAGCCUCUACUCCUGAGUGCUGGCCAUCUGAUGGGCUUCUCCAUCUCUCUUCCUCAUGGGAAGGUUGAUGCUGACUUGGGCACUAUGUCAGGCUCUGUCCAUGGCUCGGAUCAGGGCCCUUGCCUCCCUAAUGUUGGGUGCAGCAAGUCUCCAAAAUUCAUUCCUUGGAUUGUACCUAGCACCGUCACACCUUGAUCUGUCCCUGAGUGUUACAGUGCAGACCAGCAUUUUGGAUCCCGGGUUUUGAGUUCCUACCAUGUUUACAACAUAAAACUAUGGAUUUUAUUACAAGGGGCAUGGAUCAUCAAGUUAAAAGGAAUAAACCAGACUUAGGAAGAUGGUGCCAUGUGUUUGUGCCCAUACAUGGAAUCUAUAUUUUUAAAAAGAAGGAAAUACAUAACAUGAACACAGAAGAAGGUCUACAGGAAACAGAAAGGGUAAUGGAGGAUGUGAGGAUGACCCAAGAACACGAUGCAAACAUGAAAACGCCAUGCGGAAAUCUGUCACUUUGUACUAUGCACAUUUGAUCAUUUAUAUAAACGGGAGAAAGAUGCGGCAA